rnacentral:tRNA from 1 species
GGGCCGUUAGCUCAGUUGGUAGAGCAGCUGACUCUUAAUCAGCGGGUCGCAGGUUCGAGCCCUGCACGGCUCA